ACUGCGGUCGCGUGUGAGCGUGGCUGCUGUAGCGGUGUGUAGCGGUCUUUAGACCAGCGGGGGUCAUGUUCUGAGGUUGGAGGGUCUCCCUCCUCCACCGUCUCAGCUCCUGCAGCAGAUUCUGUGAGUUACCACGGCCUGGGGGGUCAUGGCACGUGGCAGAGCAGGGCGAACUGCGAGGAGGAGGCGGAGGCGUAAACGUGACGGCAGCACUCAGACUGAGUCUCUGGGUCACCAGCAGAAGUACGUGAGGCUGAUGAAGUUCCUCCAUGGGCGGGGCUUCACCUCCACCCCGCUGCAGCCCGCCCUUUUCUCCGACACAGACAGAGGACUGCAGACUCUCCAGCCGAUCCAGCCUGGCGGGAUGCUGGUUUCAUUGCCGGAGUCCUGCCUCCUCACCACCUCCACGGUUCUGCACAGCUACCUGGGGCCGUUCUUAAAGAGCUGGAAGCCCCGCCCUUCCUCCCUUGUGGCGCUUUGUGUCUUUCUGGUGUGCGAGCGGCACAGAGGCGAGGCCUCUGAUUGGUUCCCGUAUAUAGACGUCCUCCCCUGUUCCUACUGUUGCCCUCCUUAUUUCACCGACACUGUGAUGGCUGUCCUACCUUCUGGAGUUCGGAGGCGCGCUGAGGAGCAGAGGGAGGGGCUGCAACACCUUUACGCCGUCCACCAGGACUUCUUCAUGUCCCUGCAGCCGGUUCUGAGCCACCCCCCUGAGGAGGUGCUGACAUAUGAAGCUCUGAGGUGGGCCUGGUGCAGCAUCAACACCCGCUCCGUCUUCAUGGACCGCCCAUCCAGCAGCUUCCUGUCGGGACCGGAUAAUUACGCUUUAGCUCCGUUUCUGGACCUGCUGAAUCACCGCCCAGAUGUGCAGGUGAAAGCGGGUUUUAACCGGACCUCAGGAUGUUAUGAAAUCAGAAGCAUCUCUGGAGUCCAACGCUAUCACCAGGCCUUCAUCAACUACGGUUCCCAUGACAACCAACGCCUCCUGCUGGAAUACGGCUUUGUCUCCUCCUGCAACCCUCACAGUGUUAUCUAUGUAGAAGAAGAUUUGCUCUGUGAAGUUCUACGGGGGGAUGAAAGCCUGGAUGAGAAGAUGAAGUUUCUCAGAGAAAACGGUUUCCUUCAGAACCUGACGCUGUCCGAUGAAGGUCCCAGCUGGAGGCUCCUGACGGCCCUCAGGCUGCUCUCGCCGCUCCCAAUACCACGUCAGCGCUGGAGGACGCUGCUGCUCGGACAGAUGGUCAGCGAUGAGGAGGCGCAGCGCAGCGUUCAGACCGCCAAGACGCUGUGCGAGCGCCUGCUGAGGGAAACGAGGACGUCUCUGCAGGAGAUCUCCCACCUCCUCCAGCAGUCUGAGCGGCCAGUCAGGGAGCAGCUACAAGUGGUUGGGUCAUUGCGGAGGGAGGAGAGGUGCAUCCUGGGAAACUGCCUGGAGGUUCUAAAGUCUGCACUAGAGAUCUGACUUCUGAUGGGUGCAUUAGUCUGGACUGCUGCAGCUGCAGCAGGUUCUUCUUCGUCUGCCGUCACACCUGCUCCUCCUCCCGGAGGCGGCGGCUCAGCUUGUCCAGCACCACGGCCAGCUCCACCUUCCUGUCCAUCUUCAGACAGCUGUUUGGCCAGAACCAGCCUGGCCUGGAGAUUGUGGACAUCUGCAGGAGUCACCGAAGAGGAGGCGGCAGGAGGGACAGCCUCCACCUGCUUCUUGAUCUUUUGAAGGCGACACUUUAGAGCAGCAAGGUCCUCCUUACACAGAACCUGCAGACAGGUCACCCACCGGGUCAGAACCAGAACAAAGACAGAAAGCAGAAAAUAGUGCAGCAACUGUCGACCCCGGAGAUCUUCCUGGUUCACGCCCGACACAAACACUGAUGGCCUUAGAACAAAGCUGUGAGGCACAGAGGUGGAGUGUUCAUGAUGUGGGCUUUGCACACAGAACAUGCUUAAGCUCCAUGAAGCCAGUCCACUGCAGACCAGGCAUCAUCCUGUGGAGAGGAUCAUCUCAUGUUCAGGCCAGGGCUACAAAACCAGCUACAAGACCCGACCCGAGUCUUCCAAGCCUCUAACUGCUCAGAGUUCAAGUACAGCACAUGUGUCAGUCUCGGCCCGUGAGCCGGAACAUUGCAGUAGGUGUUAUAUCUUAUAAAUGUUUCAUAAAGCAGGCUGAAGAAUCAGUUAUCAUGAACUCUGGCAGUACUUUUUGACCACACAAUGUAAAACGUGACAAGGGGUUUGGUCAUCAUCCUGGUGCAGAAAGAAACAACCAUAACAGCAGGCCGACAACAAAACAGACAGAAACUCCCCGAUCCGCCCAGACAGGCAGAAGGAACGGUAUCCCACAAUUCCCAGCGCUGCAAGCAGGCCCAAACCCAAUGUGUCUGUGACCUUCACUAAAAUAUUAGCUACUAAUCCCAUCAUGCAGUGUGUGAGCUGCCUUGCCAGACAGCAGUGUCCCUGCCCAGGGGGGUGGGGGUAGGUGGUGGACAUCAUUGGGGGGGGGGUCAGCUCAUCACCUGUAACUGUCCUCUUAUGUGUCCCCUCUCUAAAUGACUUUGAUAUGGAUGAUGUGAUCAGUUUUAGCCCGCAGCACCGCCUCCAUCACCAAUAAACGGCUCAUGGCGUCUUCAGUUCACCCACGGCUCCGACAGGAUGUAUGCGAGGAGAAAAACGCGUAUUUUGGAAUAUUUAUACAUUAAUUUGUUACAUAAAAUUCCAUAAAUGUAAACAAAUCA